UUGCUGUGAUGACUUUUAUUGGGUUUUGCAUACUGAUGAAUUCCCAUGAUGCCUCCUUUCUCUUGGCUGUCUGAGCAA
ensembl:snoRNA Gm22858 small nucleolar RNA SNORD53/SNORD92